rnacentral:rRNA from 1 species
UACGUAGGGUGCGAGCGUUAAUCAGAAUUACUGGGCGUAAAGUGUGCGCAGGCGGCGCCGCAAGUCGAGUGUGAAAGCCCCGAGCUUAACUUGGGAAUUGCGCUCGAAACUAUGGUGCUGGAGUGUGGCAGAGGAAGGUGGAAUUCCACGUGUAGCGGUGAAAUGCGUAGAGAUGUGGAGGAACACCGAUGGCGAAGGCAGCCUUCUGGGCCAACACUGACGCUCAUGCACGAAAGCGUGGGGAGCAAACAGG